rnacentral:lncRNA from 1 species
UCACGGUUAAAACAGCGACAAGGAAACGAAAGAAAAGGGGGGGAAAAAGAAAAAGAAAAAGUAGAAGACGAGGCAAACGAACUUUGAAUAAUCCCGGUUUGAGCAGAGCAGCGGGUGGUGGCGGAGGUGGGUUAGCCGCGGCAGCGGGUGAUGGCGGAGCAGCCGCGGGAGUAGGGGUUGGCCUGGCCGCCAGGGCGGCAGUUGUAGUAGGAGGCGCCGCGGACGGAGCACGGCGUGGUGUCGCGCCGCAGCGCGCCGUAGCUGAUGUACCCCUGCCCCUGCAGCACCCGCCUCACCACCGCGGCGCCGUCGGCCGCCGCAUC